rnacentral:lncRNA from 1 species
UUAUCAACACACUUUAUAAAAUCUUUGUAUUUUUUUUUCUUUUUUUAUUCUUUAUGUUAAAAAAUAUUAUUCAAUAACUACUAUUAUUGCUUUGGUAUAUACUGUUUUGUCCAUAUUUAUUUGCAUUUUCGAUCAAUAAAUUCAUGUCAGGUACGACCACUCUUUAAUUUAACUUCUUUGGAGCUAAAGUCAUUACCAGAAUUGAAGUGGAUAUGGAAAGGGCCCACCCAUCUUGUUAACCUCCAAAGUCUUAAGACUAUGAUAAUAUGGGGGUGUGAGCAACUGGCAUAUCUCUUUUCGACUCCCCUUGCUCGAAGUUUGGAGCAUCUGGAAGUACUCGUAGUAAGCUAUUGCGAUUCUUUGGAACAUGUAAUCUUCGAUGAAGCAGAAAAGGAGGAUCAAAUAGUUUCAAACAUGAAUGGCUAUCCUCUCCGCUGGCCUAAGUUGAGAACUCUCAAGAUAAUUAAUUGCGGAAGAUUGAAAUAUGUGUUUCCAAUCACUUUGGCUCAAGGACUUCCUUAUUUGGUAUCUGUUGAGAUAACUGGUUGUGCGAAACUGGCAUAUCUCUUUUCGACUCCCCUUGCUCAAAGUUUGGAGCAUCUGGAAGUGCUCGAAAUAAGCCAUUGCGAUUCUUUGGAACAUGUAAUCUUCGAUGAAGCAGAAAAUGAGGAUCAAAUAGUUUCAAACAUGGAUGGCUAUCCUCUCCGCUGGCCUAAGUUGAGAACUCUCAAGAUAAUUAAUUGCGGAAGAUUGAAAUAUGUGUUUCCAAUCACUUUGGCUCAAGGACUUCCUUAUUUGGAAUCUGUUGAGAUAACUGAUUGUUCUCAACUAAAGCAGGUCUUCAAUAUGACAGAGGACAAGGGUGGGCGUCCACUACAAGACAUUGUGCUACAGAGAUUGCAAAUUUUAAGGCUUAAAAAUUUAGAGAAGUUGAGUAGUUUUUGUCCAGAAAAUUUUGUCAUGUCAUUAUCUUUGAAGGCGUUCGAAGUUUGCAAUUGUCCCCAAUUAACUGAGUUUAAGACGUUGCAAGCCCAUUUAAAGGUACUUCUAUUAUACUAUAUUUUUGUUUAUUUUGGUAAUAAUUAAUUGAAUUAUUUAUCUUAUAACAUGACGUCAAAAUUUAGUACAUUCACAUCUACGUGUAAAGGUAUUAUAUAGUAUUAUAUAUAAUUAGCUUUUGUUGAUGUUUAAAAGAAAAAAGUUUAAUUCAACGUAUACUUAUUACAUAGCUUGGAGGUUGAGAAAACUAACACUGUAUCUUUUUUUCUAUUUAUUAACACACAUUACAAAAUCUUUUUAUUUUUUCUCUUUUUUUUUUCUUUAUAUAAUAAAAUAUUAUUCAAUAACAACUAUUAUUGAAUUUAUAAAGCUCUUAUAUCGUACGAUUUGAUAAAGGGUAAAAAGGGAUAAAUAAAAAUAAUAAAAAAAAAAGAAAUAGGGGGGAGAAAGAGAAAAAAAAAAAAGAAAAUGUAGUUAGAGAAAGAAAAAAAAGGGAAAAAAGAAAAGAAAAGAAGAAAAGGGAAAAUGAAAUUAUUUAAAAAGUUUAAAAUUUUAUAAUCUAUUAGUAUUAAAAAUUAAAUUAAUAAAAUUAUAAUUAUAUUGAUUUUUUUCGUACAUAAUUUUAAUCUUGUUUAUAAAUUUGUUUUAUUUUAAUUUUACACACACCAUUAAUUACACUGUAAUUAUAUUCAAUUUAUAUUCAUAAAUUUAUGGAUAAAAAAUAUAUAAAAAUAUAUUUUAUUGUAGGGUCUUACCAUACCCAUGUACUCUAUUUUUAUAAUUGUUGUGUUGCUGUGUUUAUAUCAUGUCUUAACUAUAUUAUUUGUCACUAUGCAUGCUUUCUAGGUUCUAGUUAUACUCAAUUUGGAUUGUUAAAAUUUCUACAAUAAUGAAUUUUUAAUGAAAAGCGAGAGAUAAAAAUAUCUUUUAACUAAAAUCUUUCUUUUUCCUAAUAAAAGAAAUCCAAUUAUAUGUUUCUAAUUCUGCUAAUAGUUUCCAUUAUAUUGUGAAUUUAUCAGGAUGUCCCAUCAUAUGGUUUCAAGGAAUUGUUAUGCAAUGUCAAAGAACUUACCAUGGAUGGAUUCAUGUAUCACAAUUUGAAGCAUCUCUUCUCACCCAUCACCUUGUUCAAGCUUGGUAAUGCUGAAACACUGAAGAUAGAACGCUGCGAUGAACUGGAACACAUUGCCACUGAGUUGGAAAUUGAUAAUAUCGUAAGAACCAGACAGUGGCCUUCUCCAUCAUCGCGCCCUUGCCAAAAUUUGAACCAUCCUCUUGAAAUAGAUGGGCAUAUUAGGUUUCUUACAGAAAGUUCAAAGAUUUGACCAUUGCAGAUUGUAAGCGGGUUGAAAGUGGUAUUUGAAAUGGAUGGGCUUCUUCGAAAAGGAAGAAAUUAGUCCAGGACGCCGCUACUCUCAAAUUUAAAAGUUUGAAUCUAUUUCUUUACCAGAAUUGGGAGAGUAAAUGGAAAUCACAUCAAUCCAUCAAUAUCAUGCCAGCCUCGCGAAAGUCCUGAAGGUUGUAAACAUUUCGUGGUGUGAUGAAUUGAAAGCGAUCUUCCCGCCUUGCCUUGCACAAAGUUUGUUGCAUCUACAAGAACUCUCCAUAUAUGACUGUAAUGGAUUAGAGCAAAUCAUUGAUUUUCCCCAAGAAAUGGGUGAGCUUCAGGUACUUGUUCUCUUUCCAUUUCUCCUUUAAUGAAUAAUGAGAAAUUACUAAACUUUAUAUAUUGAUCAUAUAAUUAAUCUCUGUUGAAGUUUAAAAGAAAUAAAGUUUAACUAAAUUAUAUUAGUAACUAAACUAAAUCUACACUUAUUACAUGGCUUGCAAGUUAAGAAAGCUAAUACUAUAUACUUUUUCUCUCUUUAUCAACACACUUUAUAAAAUCUUUGUAUUUUUUUCUCUUUUUAUAUUCUUUAUGUUAAAAAAUAUUAUUCAAUAACUACUAUUAUUGCUUUGGUAUAUACUGUUUUGUCCAUAUUUAUUUGCAUUUUCGAUCAAUAAAUUCAUGUCAGGUACGACCACUCUCUAAUUUAACUUCUUUGGAGCUAAAGUCAUUACCAGAAUUGAAGUGGAUAUGGAAAGGGCCCACCCAUCUUGUUAACCUCCAAAGUCUUAAGACUAUGAUAAUAUGGGGGUGUAAGCAACUGGCAUAUCUCUUUUCGACUCCCCUUGCUCGAAGUUUGGAGCAUCUGGAAGUACUC